rnacentral:rRNA from 1 species
AAGUCGAGCGGUAACAGGGGUAGCUUGCUACCCGCUGACGAGCGGCGGACGGGUGAGUAAUGCAUAGGAAUCUGCCCGAUAGUGGGGGAUAACCUGGGGAAACCCAGGCUAAUACCGCAUACGUCCUACGGGAGAAAGGGGGCUCCGGCUCCCGCUAUUGGAUGAGCCUAUGUCGGAUUAGCUAGUUGGUAAGGUAAUGGCUUACCAAGGCAACGAUCCGUAGCUGGUCUGAGAGGAUGAUCAGCCACAUCGGGACUGAGACACGGCCCGAACUCCUACGGGAGGCAGCAGUGGGGAAUAUUGGACAAUGGGGGCAACCCUGAUCCAGCCAUGCCGCGUGUGUGAAGAAGGCCCUCGGGUUGUAAAGCACUUUCAGCGAGGAAGAACGCCUAUCGGUUAAUACCCGGUAGGAAAGACAUCACUCGCAGAAGAAGCACCGGCUAACUCCGUGCCAGCAGCCGCGGUAAUACGGAGGGUGCAAGCGUUAAUCGGAAUUACUGGGCGUAAAGCGCGCGUAGGUGGCUUGAUAAGCCGGUUGUGAAAGCCCCGGGCUCAACCUGGGAACGGCAUCCGGAACUGUCAGGCUAGAGUGCAGGAGAGGAAGGUAGAAUUCCCGGUGUAGCGGUGAAAUGCGUAGAGAUCGGGAGGAAUACCAGUGGCGAAGGCGGCCUUCUGGACUGACACUGACACUGAGGUGCGAAAGCGUGGGUAGCAAACAGGAUUAGAUACCCUGGUAGUCCACGCCGUAAACGAUGUCGACCAGCCGUUGGGUGCCUAGAGCACUUUGUGGCGAAGUUAAC